rnacentral:rRNA from 1 species
CAGUCGCCGCGGGAAUACAGAGGGUGCAAGCGUUAAUCGGAUUUACUGGGCGUAAAGGGCGCGUAGGUGGUUAUUUAAGUGAGAUGUGAAAUCCCCGGGCUUAACCUGGGAACUGCAUCUUAUACUGGGUAACUGGAGUGCAAUAGAGGGUAGUGGAAUUUCCGGUGUAGCGGUGAAAUGCGUAGAUAUCGGAAGGAACACCAGUGGCGAAGGCGGCUCACUGGACGACUGUUGACGCUGAGGUGCGAAAGCGUGGGGAGCAAACAGGAUUAGAUACCCCGGUAGUCCCUGUCUCUUAUAC